GACGAACGCUGGCGGCGUGCCUAAUACAUGCAAGUGAAGUUCAGUGGCGGACGGUUGAGUAACACGUGGGUAACCUACCCAUCAGAGGGGGAUAACACUUGGAAACGGGGUCUAAUACCGAAUAAAGGGGGAUGGGCUAGCGGCUUAUCAGCGUGUUGGUGGGGUGAUGGCCUACCAACGCGGUGACGGGUAGCCGGCAUGAGCGGGUUACCGGGCACAUAGGGACUGAGAUACGGCCUAGACUCCUACGGGAGGCAGCAGUGGGGGAUAUCGCACAAUGGGCGAAGGCCUGAUGCAGCGACGCCGCGUAGGGGAUGAAGGCUUUCGGGUUGUAAACCUCUUUAGCUAUCGAACGGGUAGGUGGAGAAGAAGCGCCGGCUAACUACGUGCCAGCAGCCGCGGUAAUAC
rnacentral:rRNA from 1 species